GGUUAAGCGACUAAGCGUACACGGUGGAUGCCCUGGCAGUCAGAGGCGAUGAAGGACGUGCUAAUCUGCGAAAAGCGCCGGCGAGGUGAUAUGAACCUUUGACCCGGCGAUGUCCGAAUGGGGAAACCCAGUGUGAUUCGUCACACUAUCGUUAACUGAAUACAUAGGUUAACGAGGCGAACCGGGGGAACUGAAACAUCUAAGUACCCCGAGGAAAAGAAAUCAACCGAGAUUCCCCCAGUAGCGGCGAGCGAACGGGGAGCAGCCCAGAGUCUGAAUCAGCUUGUGUGUUAGUGGAAGCGUCUGGAAAGUCGCACGGUACAGGGUGACAGUCCCGUACACGAAAGCACACAGGCUGUGAACUCGAAGAGUAGGGCGGGACACGUGGUAUCCUGUCUGAAUAUGGGGGGACCAUCCUCCAAGGCUAAAUACUCCUGACUGACCGAUAGUGAACCAGUACCGUGAGGGAAAGGCGAAAAGAACCCCGGCGAGGGGAGUGAAAAAGAACCUGAAACCGUGUACGUACAAGCAGUGGGAGCACCUUCGUGGUGUGACUGCGUACCUUUUGUAUAAUGGGUCAGCGACUUAUAUUCUGUAGCAAGGUUAACCGUAUAGGGGAGCCGAAGGGAAACCGAGUCUUAACUGGGCGUUAAGUUGCAGGGUAUAGACCCGAAACCCGGUGAUCUAGCCAUGGGCAGGUUGAAGGUUGGGUAACACUAACUGGAGGACCGAACCGACUAAUGUUGAAAAAUUAGCGGAUGACUUGUGGCUGGGGGUGAAAGGCCAAUCAAACCGGGAGAUAGCUGGUUCUCCCCGAAAGCUAUUUAGGUAGCGCCUCGUGAACUCAUCUUCGGGGGUAGAGCACUGUUUCGGCUAGGGGGCCAUCCCGGCUUACCAACCCGAUGCAAACUACGAAUACCGAAGAAUGUUAUCACGGGAGACACACGGCGGGUGCUAACGUCCGUCGUGAAGAGGGAAACAACCCAGACCGCCAGCUAAGGUCCCAAAGUCAUGGUUAAGUGGGAAACGAUGUGGGAAGGCACAGACAGCCAGGAUGUUGGCUUAGAAGCAGCCAUCAUUUAAAGAAAGCGUAAUAGCUCACUGGUCGAGUCGGCCUGCGCGGAAGAUGUAACGGGGCUAAACCAUGCACCGAAGCUGCGGCAGCGACGCGUAUGCGUUGUUGGGUAGGGGAGCGUUCUGUAAGCCGUUGAAGGUGGCCUGUGAGGGUUGCUGGAGGUAUCAGAAGUGCGAAUGCUGACAUAAGUAACGAUAAAGCGGGUGAAAAGCCCGCUCGCCGGAAGACCAAGGGUUCCUGUCCAACGUUAAUCGGGGCAGGGUGAGUCGACCCCUAAGGCGAGGCCGAAAGGCGUAGUCGAUGGGAAACAGGUUAAUAUUCCUGUACUUGGUGUUACUGCGAAGGGGGGACGGAGAAGGCUAUGUUAGCCGGGCGACGGUUGUCCCGGUUUAAGCAUGUAGGCGGAGGUUCCAGGUAAAUCCGGUACCUUUUAACGCUGAGGUGUGAUGACGAGGCACUACGGUGCUGAAGUAACAAAUGCCCUGCUUCCAGGAAAAGCCUCUAAGCAUCAGGUAACAUCAAAUCGUACCCCAAACCGACACAGGUGGUCAGGUAGAGAAUACCAAGGCGCUUGAGAGAACUCGGGUGAAGGAACUAGGCAAAAUGGUGCCGUAACUUCGGGAGAAGGCACGCUGAUAUGUAGGUGAAGCCCCUGCGGGUGGAGCUGAAAUCAGUCGAAGAUACCAGCUGGCUGCAACUGUUUAUUAAAAACACAGCACUGUGCAAACACGAAAGUGGACGUAUACGGUGUGACGCCUGCCCGGUGCCGGAAGGUUAAUUGAUGGGGUUAGCGGUAACGCGAAGCUCUUGAUCGAAGCCCCGGUAAACGGCGGCCGUAACUAUAACGGUCCUAAGGUAGCGAAAUUCCUUGUCGGGUAAGUUCCGACCUGCACGAAUGGCGUAAUGAUGGCCAGGCUGUCUCCACCCGAGACUCAGUGAAAUUGAACUCGCUGUGAAGAUGCAGUGUACCCGCGGCAAGACGGAAAGACCCCGUGAACCUUUACUAUAGCUUGACACUGAACACUGGUCCUUGAUGUGUAGGAUAGGUGGGAGGCUUUGAAGUGUGGACGCCAGUCUGCGUGGAGCCGUCCUUGAAAUACCACCCUUUAAUGGCUGGUGUUCUAACGUAGACCCGUGAUCCGGGUUGCGGACAGUGUCUGGUGGGUAGUUUGACUGGGGCGGUCUCCUCCCAAAGAGUAACGGAGGAGCACGAAGGUUAGCUAAUCCUGGUCGGACAUCAGGAGGUUAGUGCAAUGGCAUAAGCUAGCUUGACUGCGAGAGUGACGGCUCGAGCAGGUGCGAAAGCAGGUCAUAGUGAUCCGGUGGUUCUGAAUGGAAGGGCCAUCGCUCAACGGAUAAAAGGUACUCCGGGGAUAACAGGCUGAUACCGCCCAAGAGUUCAUAUCGACGGCGGUGUUUGGCACCUCGAUGUCGGCUCAUCACAUCCUGGGGCUGAAGUAGGUCCCAAGGGUAUGGCUGUUCGCCAUUUAAAGUGGUACGCGAGCUGGGUUUAGAACGUCGUGAGACAGUUCGGUCCCUAUCUGCCGUGGGCGCUGGAGAAUUGAGGGGGGCUGCUCCUAGUACGAGAGGACCGGAGUGGACGCAUCACUGGUGUUCGGGUUGUCAUGCCAAUGGCACUGCCCGGUAGCUAAAUGCGGAAAAGAUAAGUGCUGAAAGCAUCUAAGCACGAAACUUGCCCCGAGAUGAGUUCUCCCUGAGACUUUAAGUCUCCUGAAGGAACGUUGAAGACGACGACGUUGAUAGGUCGGGUGUGUAAGCGCAGCGAUGCGUUGAGCUAACCGAUACUAAUGAACCGUGAGGCUUAACCUU
rnacentral:rRNA from 1 species